AGCGAACGCUGGCGGCAGGCCUAACACAUGCAAGUCGAACGAAGUCUUCGGACUUAGUGGCGGACGGGUGAGUAACACGUGGGAACGUGCCGUUAGGUUCGGAAUAACUCAGGGAAACUUGUGCUAAUACCGAAUGUGCCCUUCGGGGGAAAGAUUUAUCGCGUUUAGAGCGGCCCGCGUCUGAUUAGCUAGUUGGUGGGGUAAUGGCCCACCAAGGCUACGAUCAGUAGAUGGUCUGAGAGGAUGACCAGCCACAUUGGGACUGAGACACGGCCCAAACUCCUACGGGAGGCAGCAGUGGGGAAUCUUGCGCAAUGGGCGAAAGCCUGACGCAGCCAUGCCGCGUGGAUGAUGAAGGUCUUAGGAUUGUAAAAUCCUUUCACCGGUGAAGAUAAUGACUGUAGCCGGAGAAGAAGCCCCGGCUAACUUCGUGCCAGCAGCCGCGGUAAAAC
rnacentral:rRNA from 1 species